CCCUUAGAUGUUCUGGGCUGCACGCGCGCUACACUGACAUACUCAGCAAGUUUCCUUGCCUGAAAGGGUUGGGUAAUCUUGUUAGUGUAUGUCGUGAUGGGGAUAGAAUAUUGUAAUUAUUGCUCUUUAACGAGGAAUUCCUAGUAAGCGCAAGUCAUCAGCUUGCGUUGAUUACGUCCCUGCCCUUUGUACACACCGCCCGUCGCUCCUACCGAUUGGGUGAUCCGGUGAGGCUUUGGGAUCUGAGCGGAAAGAGCGUUUCGCUGUUUCUGCUCGGAAAACUCAGUCGAACCUUAUCAUUUAGAGGAAGGAGAAGUCGUAACA
rnacentral:rRNA from 1 species